AUGGAUGAUGUGCAUCUCUCUCUCAUUGUUCAUUUUUGUUUGGCAAGAAUGGAGCCGGCCAAUUUGUGUUUGCAUUCAAAAUUCGGCCAGCACUAUCUCCCCUUUUUCUUCUUAUACAAGCCAUGCCUCCCACCUACCCCAAUCCAUAAAUGGGCAGCCUCCCAACCAACUCAAUCAAUGAGGAGGCUACCUCCCAACCAACUCAAUCAAUGAGGAGGCAGCCAACCCACCCCCUCUCCCUCUAUAUAAAGGGGCUUGGCAGCCCACUCCCUCCUCACUUGCUCUCAUUUCCCACUCUCCACUCCUCUCCACUCCUCUCCUUUGCCUCAUUUCUUUUCACUCCCUACUAUUUCCUCCACUCCCUCACACUCUCCUCCUCCACUUCCCCACGAAAAUGGUGCUCCCCUUGCUCCCAUGGCCGGCCAUAGCCAUGGCAAGCCACCAAGAUGAAGCUCUCCCCCUCCCUCAAGCUCAUCCUCACCAUGAGAGCCUCCCUCUCCUUCUUCUCCCUAACCUUAGAUGGUUUAAUCUCCUCUUCUUCUCCCUCCAUUGCUAAGAUUGGAUCUUGAUGCAGGUGCAUGUUGGUCCAAGCAUGGAGAAGGUUGAGCUAUCCUCAGAUCUGAAGUUCUUGAGCAAAAUCCAAAUCGAGUGGUUCAAAGUUCUGCAGAUAGGGGAUGUUUGGUUUAUACUAUGGUGAUAACCGAGAGAGGAAAUUGCUAAGUUAUGAUACUCUCAUACCUUUACUAGACGCGAGCAAUUCCGGAGAAGAAGAAGAAGUGGAAUUGGACAAGGAUUUUAUUUAUAUUGUUGGGAUUCUUAUAUUGAUGGAGUUGAAGGAGUACAGGGACAAAUAAGCCAAG